CAGCUAUGGUCUUGGUAUCCUGCAGUAUGUUGCUGGCUGCAGCCACUUGGACCGUGAUGGUGUGCAUUCCGUCGUUGGGGAAGGUGUGUGAGAUGCUCCCGUCCAACGUUACCAUGGGCUGCAAGUGCAAAAGAUGCAGCGUGAUGAGCUUAUACGAGGUGGAUAGGCAGCCACAGCCAGAAAACAUCUUUAGUCUUGAUGAAAAGGUAGCUGGAAAAAUGUGGUUGAAAGAGUGCAGUGAUGUAUAAGUCAUAUGACUGGCAACUGGAGGCAACCUCAGACACCCUGAUGAAGGGAGCGAGAAGCUGGACAUGCUCCACAGGACCUAAGAAAAAGAAAACACCAUCGAGGAGCUGAUGUUAUGUGAGGCGACUUCUAAAGAGACACAUUUGAGCUUUUCAUUCAAAUAAGUAAAAAAAGCCAAUUGGCAAGAUCACAAAUCCUAAGUACAUGGGGGUGUGAAGCUUGUUUCAGGCAGAGAAACACUCCAAACACCAUCACUUUUAUAUGACAGGAGGU